GGGCGGAUUCCCGAGAGGCCAAAGGGGGCAGACUGUAAAUCUGUUAGCUACGCUUUCGAAGGUUCGAAUCCUUCUCCGCCCA
rnacentral:tRNA from 1 species